UGGGCAAUCUCGUUGAAAGUGCCCGAUCUCGUUGCACUUGUAGCACCUGGCUUCCUUCCUACUCCUGCUCUUUCGAGACUUUGACCAUCCCCUUGACUUACCUCUUUUCCUUCCUCUUCUUGAUCUCUCCUCCAUGGCCAAGCCCUCCUAGGGAGCACCUUCCUUGGUCAAUUUCUUCCACUAUUCAUUGGACCGCAGCACUAAGACUAUGUCUUCAUACUCCAGGGUCUCUUUGCCAUAGAGCAGCAUCGUCACCAAUGGAUCAUAGGAAGGGGGCAGCGAGCAUAGCAGUAG
rnacentral:lncRNA from 1 species